UGAAAUGAUCGCACAGGUGAAUCAACACCUCUCCGAAACAGUUUCCACAAACACUGAGCGUUACGACCCUCGUGGAGGGAGGCUUUCGUGCGGGACCGUUGCGUUGGACUGCACGUAGCAACCAUACAAUGCACUGCUACAAGACAUUUACUCUGCAAGUGGUGCAAAGUUGACAUUAGCUAAACUAAUGUCACCGACCUUUUUAACCGGAGUGCUGUGCCAGGGCUCGGCUGAAGUAUCUGAAACAAGAUCGUUUGUGAUGGCUACUACUGAGAUGGAAUCUGGUUCUUUGGAAAGCAGAUCAGAGCAAGGGACAGUUGACAGCGAUUCAAAGUACCCACUGAAAGUCCUUUAUUGUGGAGUGUGCUCUCUGCCUACAGAGUACUGUGAGUACAUGCCCGAGCCAGCCAAAUGUAGGCAGUGGCUCGAGAAGAACUUUCCAGAUGUCUUUGCCAGGAUGACUGUAGGCCCGGCAGCGAAUGCACCCAAGCAGGAACCCGGCACUGGAGAUGCUCCCCCUGCAGGCGAGGAGGAGGAGAAAAAGAAACAGAAGAGAGGUGGAAGAGGCCAGAUCAAACAGAAAAAGAAGACUGUGCCUCAGAAAGUCACGAUAGCAAAAAUCCCAAGAGCCAAAAAGAAAUACGUCACACGUGUGUGUGGCCUGGCAACAUUUGACAUUGACCUUAAAGAGGCUCAGCGAUUCUUUGCCCAGAAGUUCUCUUGUGGUGCCUCGGUUACUGCAGAGGAUGAAAUAAUCAUUCAGGGAGAUUUUACAGAUGACAUAAUCGACGUCAUUCAAGACAAGUGGCCUGAGGUGGAUGAUGACAGCAUUGAUGAUCUGGGUGAAGUGAAGAAGUGAAGACCAAAUAUGCACUUUUACUGAAAUGGAUGUGACCUGUAACAGCAACAACCUGGCCAAAUUUAAUCGCUACUUUCUCUCGUUUGCCAAAGGUGUGGUAUGACGUGAAUCCCUCCCAAAUGUUCUUCACUCAAGCAAACUGUAGGCUAAUAAAUUUCAGUCUCCUUCGCCUGUACGCUCAA